CCGCUCCCGCUUCUCCCACCACACUUCCCUGCAAGCUGAGAGAAGCGGCUCUGGCCUUGGGCAGCCCAGAAAGGGGCUCCCUCAGUGCAGCGGUGGGCUGAAGGGCUCCUCAAGUGCCGCCAAAGUGGGAGCCCAGGCAGAGGAGGCGCCCAGAGCGAGCGAGGGCUGUGAGGACUGCCAGCACGCUGUCACCUCUCAGAACUAUUUACUCAGAAUGAGUGAAGAGACAGUCUUGCUCUGUUGCCCAGGCCGGAGUGGAGUGGCACAGUCAUAAUUCCCUGUACCCUUGAAAUCCUGAGCUCAAGCCAUCUCCAUACCUUAGCCUCCCAAGUGGCUACUACAGGACUGACUGAUAGUAUUUUCCUUUGGAAGAUCCUUUUAUAUUCUGUCUCUAUGAAAGAAGUGUUUUCAAUGAAAUAAGAUAUUUAUUCCAAAUCAAUCCUGCACCAGAAGCUCCAUUUCUGCAUUCGCUUCCAGAAAACACAGCAGCCGUAUGUGAAUUUGGGAGUGGUCCCACGAACCGGUUAUGAGACGAGGUUUUGGAGCUGGAUCACACCUGACACAACUGGCAUUGAAAACCUUAUUACCAAGAGCCUCUGGCACAAGGCUGCUAUGAAGAAAUACCCAAGACUGGGUACUUUCUCAACUUUCAAAUUGAGCUGUUCAGAAUGUGUGAAACAAUUUUAAGAUGAAGUCAAAGAUACUUGAAGCAGAAGCUGUAUCUGAGGAAGCUGUAUAUAAACCCAAUUUAAAGCAAGAUGAGAACUCAGCACAGGCACUGCAGCCACGGAGGUUUCCAGAUAGAAAAAUUGACACCCCUGAGAUCCCAUAACAUUUUGGGGACUCAUCUGGGAUCUGCGGAAGGAGCUUGACUCUUUUCAUUGGCAAUAAAUGGCGCCCCAACAUGGGGACUCAGAGAAGACUCAGGAGCCCCAAGCAGUUGUCCGAAAUCAGAGCUAAGGUACCAGCCAGGGUUAAUUGAAGACUCACCAAGUUCAAGCUUCUCCUUUGGUGGAACUGUCUCCCUGGCUUGAAAUCAUUGCACCAGAAGAGGCACUGGGACACAGAGCUGAGAUUGAAGAACACUUGAAAAUUAUCAAGAAUGUACUGCGGAGUAUUGAAAUUGCAAGUUAUCAUCAAAGGAAGCUGAAUCAUACCUUCCCUGUUUCAAAUAACAAGCAUCAAGCAUCGUGAUAAUGUGGACACUAAGGAGCAACAAUUUCUCUAAAGAUAAGAAUAAAGAUAGACUUUUAGACUACGAGAUGGGCCUGAAAAAAUAUCUGAUCAAGCUACUCAGUUUUACAGAUGAAGAAGGUGAAGCCUGGGAAAACCUAAAGAACCUAUAUAAGGUUCUCAGAUAGACACCAUGUUAUCUGCUUGAAUGAAGAAAAUUUGGUAACAUGUUUGCUGAUCUUAAUCUACUAUACAUUUUUUUAGCUUGUCAACUUGAACAAGUUUCUCAAUUAUUUCCUCAUCUAUUUUUUCUGAUAAACUUAACCAAAUCUUGUAAAAUGAAUGUUUUGAAAACGUAUAUCUUAAAGGAGCAUUUUCUAAUUUAAUAUUGAUGUUUUAUUAUUUAUUGAAUCAAGGAAGUUAUGCAUAUUUUGCAUAAAUAUGUGCUACCUUAUGUAUGAUAAUAUUUUUCUCCACAGUCACAUAUUAAUCUGUCCUGACAUUUUUCUAUAAUAAACAUCAUUAUCUGAGACAGAAAUGACAGGAAAAAUUUAUCCAUUUUAAUGAUAUCUAAUUAAAAUUUGUGUCUAACCUUAAUUGAAAUAUAUAUAUAUAUUUCAGUUAGUAAAAAAGGAAAGUCAAUUGAUGAUGCAUUAAGUGUCAGCAUUAUUACAUAGAGAUUGGAAGACAUUAGGUACAAAUGUGAAUCUGCAAGAGUACCAUUUGUAUAUUGCUAAUUACUUGAUACUGUGUCUUUUUAAGAAAGCUGUUACUCUUUAUUCACUCUAGAGCAUUUCAGACAAUUAAUUAGGCAUUCAUUAAUAGAUGAUUAAACAUUUUGUCUCUACAUUGCUUGAAAGGAGUUGUAAAUUACAUCUUGCCCAUGUUGCUAAUUUGCUGUCCAGCAAACAGACUUGCCUGUGGAAAUUUUGUAAAUCAAGCUUAUGAUAUAUUGGCCAUAGAUUGUUUGUCUUCCAAUUCCUCUUAGCUGUUGAUAAUGCAAAUCAAGCCACAUGAAUGAUAACCUGAUAGAAGACACUGCUUUGAAAAGCUAUACUCACAUUAAUACAAACUGUUCAGAAUUGUUAUGUGGAACAUUUCUCUCUAUAAUUGAGAAGAUAAACAUGGCAAAUAAUAUGCUGCUUCAUCAAGUUUUGCAUGUGAAUCAUUCCCAAAGUGAACUUUGAAAAGAGCUCCAUAAAUUCCAUCAGAAAACAAUGAAAUAUAAAACAUCACAGUCCUUUACCAUAGCUAAGCCAGCAAAUAAAUAUCAGGUAUAAAAACUCAUAUUGAUAAAAACCAAACUUUACUUAACGUUACAGAAGUCCAAAUGAUUUUAUCAAGAUAAUAUGUGAUUUAAUAUGUGAAUCUAUAAUAAAGAAUUCUGAGGCUGAGUGUGGUGGCUCAUGUCUGUAAUCCCAGCUCUUUGGGAGACCAAGGCGGGUGGAUCGCCUGACAUUAGGAGUUCGAGACCAACCUGGCCAACAUGGCCAGACCCCAUCUCUACUAAGAAUACAAAAAUUAGCCAGGUUUGGUGGCUCAUGCCUGUAAUCCCAGUUACUCAGGAGGCUGAAGCAUGAGAACUGCUGGAACCUGGAGGCUGCAGUAAGCUGAGAUCGUGCCAUUGCACUCCAGCCUGGGUGACAGAGCAAGACUCAGUCUCAGAAAAAAUAAAUAAAUAAAAAUAAAAAAUAAAAAAAUAAAAUAAAAUUAUGGUCACACAAGUUUCUAGAAAACCAACUUAUUUCUGAGAUAGCCCAGAGGUGACAUACACUGACUAACCCACUGAGAGUAUGUUUUAUUCUUUGCUGAACUACUAGAACCUAGACUAGAGCCUCACAUGCAAAAAGCAUUCAGUAAAAAUUGUGUUUACAGAAAAUUACUAUAGGACAAUAAUUAUGUCUUAUAAGUGGGUUUGUUUAAAGGGUUUAUCAUUUAUUCUAAGUCACACAUUUUACUCAGAAAUACUAGCUUUGUCCUGGAAAGUUCAAUUAAAUAGAGAAAAGGAACAAGAACAUACAUUCAAGCCAAAAUAAGCAAAGCUUUGCCUCAAGAAGGGUUGAUGGAAAAAACAGAAAACAGAAAGCACUACAGUUUAAUGAGUUACAGACUGCUCAGCAGAAAAGACAACAUAGACAUAUAAUACAGGUCUUUCUGCUAAUAUAUUCCUUUCUUUGCUUAAAACUAAGUACAGAUAUUACUUUGGAACCCUUUGAAUGUGGGAAAUUAGUUUCCUCCUCAGCAUUGUCCUCUACUACUUUUCGGAGUAUAAUGUGUAUGACAUUCUCUCAGUAAAAUUUUGAUACACUUGAUAGUUGAAGGUUAAAGAAGAGUAGAAAUCAUCUUAACACCUUACUAAUGGGAAAUUUUUUCAUAGGAAUACACAUAAUUUCCAGAAAGUUACCUUUUUAUAGAGGGCAUCAUGCAUAAUAACACCUUUUGGCUCAAAAUAGAAAUUAUUUUUAAGCUUAUACUUUUGCCAUACGUUAGAGCAACUACUGAUUUAGAUUGUUCUGUUUUACUGUUCUAGAAUCAUUCCACACUUGCCUCUUGGCAUCCAUAAUCAGAAAAGUAAAUCAAGAAAUAAACUAUAAACUGAUCAAUGUUUUAUUAUUUUCCUUAUAGCCUUUUAUUUUACCAUGAGGAGUUUCUGUAUGUAAGGCACUUUAGAAUAUGAAUGAUUUUCAUGGCAUACACAUAAGGGACUAUUAAAAACAACUGACAUGUUUUUGGUAAAGUAUUUGACUGUUUAUUCUUCAUGUAACUGAAAAUAUUCAGCAUUGAAAGAGUUUGCAUUUCAUGAUGGCUACAAAGUUGAAAUUUACAUUCUGGUUUCUUAAAGGCAGGAACUACAUUCUGCAAAGGGCAAAUUUCAAAAGACAAAACUUAAUCCUUAUACUAGCAAAAGUUUGAUUAGAUAAGUUCUACAUACUUAGCUGCUUAUAUAAAUACAGGUGGCUGAGGCUGAAAAUGAAUGCCCCAGGAAGAAGUAAAUCAAUUUUACAAAAAUUAUCAAAUGGCAUAAUGAUGGGCACACAAUGCCCUCCACCCACAGCUGUUCUUGCAUUUCUAACAUAAAAGGCAGCACAAGACAGAAGGGAAACACUGACAAAUAGAUUGGUUCUGCCAUUUCCUUAGCAUUAUGUGCCCUGUCACUUUUUGAAUUUCUUAGAUAAGAUGCAAUUUCUCUUUAGUUUUUAAUGCCCUUUUAGAUAUUUUUUGUUACAGGAUUCGUUACCAUGAAUCCAAGGGACUUUAUUUUGGCACUUUGACAGAAAGGAUUGGACUGCUUAAACAAGAACUAAUAAAUAGCUUCCAUUUCCUACAUGAAAAAAGUAAUACAUGUUUAUGCUGUUUCCUGGAUUGCACAUGUAACUGGCAGCAAGAAACACCCUCGGAAUAGUAAUCAUAAAAUAUCCUUGUUUAUUCCAAAGCAUAACUAUAGAAAUGUGUGACAAUCUGAAUUUCUUUUGUAUGCCAAAAUAUGCUGAGAAAGUACUAAUGAAUGCUGUGCCAUUCUAAUUUUGUAUUAAUGAAAUAAUUUAUUAUUUUUUCAGUUUUAAUUAAAAUUGGCUUUGCAUCAAACUGUGCUUAUCACAUUGAUCACAUGAUAAAAAGGGAAUUUUGUCAUUUAUCAAUAAAAAUGAUUAUGUGUAUUAUCU
rnacentral:lncRNA from 10 species